CUCAGUAGCUUCAUCUAUAGUAUCAGCAUAACAAUAAUUGAGCAGUUUUACCUGGCUCACAGCAAGGACUCGGCUAUGGCAAAUUUUAUUUUAUUUUAAUUAUUUUGUUUUAUUUUUAUUUGUAUCUUAUUUUAUUUUUUGAGACGAAGUCUCACUCUUCACCCAGGCUGGAGUGCAGUGGCACAAUCUCAGCUCACUGCAACCUCUGCCUCCCAGGUUCAAGCAAUCCUCCCACCUCAGCCUCCUGAGUAGCUGGGACUAUAGCAAGAGCCUCCUGAUCUAGCAGCCAAGACUCCCCCUGACCUUUGGCCAUGUACCCCAACCCUCUCAUCUACUGCACCUGCUGGGACCCCUGGAACUUGGGACCACGGAAGCUAAUCAAGACCCCUCAACUACCACGCAAGAACUCCACAGGGAGUUCCAAGCUAACUCCUCUUGUACCAGCUCCAAAAAAUCAC
rnacentral:lncRNA from 10 species